rnacentral:hammerhead_ribozyme from 1 species
AUCCAGACGACGAGUCCCAAAUAGGACGAAAUGAGCAUCGUGGAU